rnacentral:rRNA from 1 species
UACGGAGGAUCCAAGCGUUAUCCGGAUUUAUUGGGUUUAAAGGGUGCGUAGGCGGCGCGGAAAGUCAGGGGUGAAAUCCCGGAGCUCAACUCCGGAACUGCCUUUGAUACUCCCGCGCUUGAGAACUGGAGGGGAGACCGGAAGUUCCUGGAUGUAGCGGUGAAGUGACGCAGAUAUCAGGAGGAACACCGAUGGCGAAGGCAGGUCUCUGGGCCACUACUGACGCUGAGAAGCGAAAGCAUGGGGAGCGAACAGG